UCAUUAACUGUGUUUUUCUUCCGAGUAGCAGCAGCCUGCAUAGCAGGCAAUCACUGAGCUGACUAGCAGGUGUGUCCAGUGUGUGUGGAAUACAAGGCGAAAUCGACACGGACAGGAUCGCAUACCACACACAUUGAUAUUUACCCUUCCUGCGGUUUGCACUGUAUGUGAAUACAUUAUCUUGUGAUAAAGGAGAUGGCUGAUCGCUCCUCAGGGGCGGAGGUGAUGAGUGGCGCAGUUGUGUCGGUGAGAAGCCGUCAGUUGUCGCCAAGAUUGAGCAAGGGGAGGAGCCGUGUGUACAAGGGCGCCAAAGACGUACGGAGGAAGCGCUUAUGAAUACCA